rnacentral:rRNA from 1 species
GGCAGGGCGGCAGCUACACAUGCAAGUCGAGCGGAUGAGAGGAGCUUGCUCCUUGAUUUAGCGGCGGACGGGUGAGUAAUGCCUAGGAAUCUGCCUGGUAGUGGGGGAUAACGUUCCGAAAGGAACGCUAAUACCGCGUACGUCCUACGGGAGAAAGCAGGGGACCUUCGGGCCUUGCGCUAUCAGAUGAGCCUAGGUCGGAUUAGCUAGUUGGUGAGGUAAUGGCUCACCAAGGCGACGAUCCGUAACUGGUCUGAGAGGAUGAUCAGUCACACUGGAACUGAGACACGGUCCAGACUCCUACGGGAGGCAGCAGUGGGGAAUAUUGGACAAUGGGCGAAAGCCUGAUCCAGCCAUGCCGCGUGUGUGAAGAAGGUCUUCGGAUUGUAAAGCACUUUAAGUUGGGAGGAAGGGCAUUAACCUAAUACGUUAGUGUUUUGACGUUACCGACAGAAUAAGCACCGGCUAACUUCGUGCCAGCAGCCGCGGUAAUACGAAGGGUGCAAGCGUUAAUCGGAAUUACUGGGCGUAAAGCGCGCGUAGGUGGUUCAGUAAGUUGGAUGUGAAAUCCCCGGGCUCAACCUGGGAACUGCAUCCAAAACUGCUGAGCUAGAGUACGGUAGAGGGUGGUGGAAUUUCCUGUGUAGCGGUGAAAUGCGUAGAUAUAGGAAGGAACACCAGUGGCGAAGGCGACCACCUGGACUGAUACUGACACUGAGGUGCGAAAGCGUGGGGAGCAAACAGGAUUAGAUACCCUGGUAGUCCACGCCGUAAACGAUGUCAACUAGCCGUUGGAAUCCUUGAGAUUUUAGUGGCGCAGCUAACGCAUUAAGUUGACCGCCUGGGGAGUACGGCCGCAAGGUUAAAACUCAAAUGAAUUGACGGGGGCCCGCACAAGCGGUGGAGCAUGUGGUUUAAUUCGAAGCAACGCGAAGAACCUUACCUGGGCCUUGACAUGCUGAGAACUUUCCAGAGAUGGAUUGGUGCCUUCGGGAACUCAGACACAGUGCUGCAUGCUGUCGUCAGCUCGUGUCGUGAGAUGUGGGUAAGUCCCGUAACGAGCGCAACCCUGUCUAGUACAGCACUCAGGGUGGCACUCUAGGAGACUGCGGUGACAAACCGGAGAAGGUGGGGAUGACGUCAAGUCAUCAUGCCCUAACGCCAAGCUACACACGUGCUACAGUUGUCGUCAAGGUUGCCAAGCGCGAGGUGAACUAUCCGAAACCGAUCCGUAAUUCCGGAUC